GGGGCUGUAGCUCAGUGUUAGAGCGCCCACCUCUCACGUGUGAGGAACUGGGUUCAAUCCUAAUCACCACCU
rnacentral:tRNA from 1 species